AGUAGCCGCGGUAAUUCCAGCUCCAAUAGCGUAUAUUAAAGUUGUUGCAGUUAAAAAGCUCGUAGUUGAAUUUCGGGGUUAGUAGGUUGGUCAUGCCUCUGGUAUGUACUGAUCUCACUGAUUCCUCCCUCUUGACGAACUGUAAUGUCAUUAAUUUGGUGUUGCAGGAAAUCAGGACUGUUACUUUGAAAAAUUAGAGUGUUUAAAGCAGGCUUAGGCUUGAAUACAUUAGCAUGGAAUAAUGAAAUAGGACGUUUGAACCUAUUUUGUUGGUUUCUAGGAUCGACGUAAUGAUUAAUAGGGAUAGUUGGGGGCAUUAGUAUUCAAUUGUCAGAGGUGAAAUUCUUGGAUUUAUUGAAGACUAACUACUGCGAAAGCAUUUGCCAAGGAUGUUUUCAUUAAUCAAGAACGAAAGUUAGGGGAUCGAAGACGAUCAGAUACCGUCGUAGUCUUAACCAUAAACUAUGCCGACUAGGGAUCGGAUGAUGUUAAUUUUUUAAUGACUCAUUCGGCGCCUUAA
rnacentral:rRNA from 1 species